rnacentral:SRP_RNA from 2 species
GCCGGGCGUGGUGGCACACGCCUGUAAUCCCAGCUACUCAGGAGGCUGAGGCAGGAGAAUUGCUUGAGCCCAGGAAGCGGAGGUUGCAGUGAGCCGAGAUUGUGCCACUGCACUCCAGCCUGGCCAACAGAGCAAGACUCUGUCUCAA